rnacentral:rRNA from 1 species
AUGCUGGCGUGCAGUGGCUUCAAGCGGCUCUUCCCGGCUUCCCACCACCGUCGUCGGCCAAGCGCAUCCGUGCGCUCCUGCCAUGGCGGCACGGCUCCGUCAAGCCCAAUGGGGCAUCCAUCCCUGAGGGCAGCGAGCUGGAGCUGGGCCUGGACAAGGGAUUCAGCUUUUCCAAGCACUUCUUCGCCAAGUACGAGCUCGGCAAGGAGGUCGGAUGUGGCCACUUCGGAUACACCUGCGCCGCCAAGGCCUAGAAGGGCGAGCACAAGGCCAGGACAUCGCUGUCAAGGUCAUCCCCAAGGACAAGUUGUGUGUGCUUCACCUUGGCUUGCCUUUGCUCAAUUUGGUGCACUACUAGAUUAUGAAUCUCUAAACCAGUUGGGGCUUGUGAUUGGUGUUUAUGUUAGUUGGGUGCAGAUAAUGAGAAACAUAGUAAGCCUGCCUCAAAGGCGCACUUCCGGUCGACACAUGAUGGUCAGACUUAGCACUGGAGGUGUUAUGAGACAGGCCCGAAUGAUGAUGGCCACAAUAUAA